GCAUUGCGUAGCUCAGUUGGUAGAGCGCAGGGCUCAACGAGAGUUUCUGAGGGCGCGGGUUCAAUUCCUGCCGCAUACG